GAUAAAUAGGUAUCACAACAGGUAAAAUCUUUGUAGCGAGAAACUAUUGUGACAAUAUUCAAAACCAUAUGUAUGAUAUGUAGAUUCAAAAAAUACAUAAUUCUCAUAACAAAUAUCCAUCAAAUGAAACUCAAAUGUAAUUUAGCCAUCCUAAUUAACUACGAAGACUAAACUAUCCAUGAUGUAGAGUCCAGUCCAACUAGUUUUUUGGAUCCUGCAAUCAAGAAAUAAAAAAAAUUCUAGUUAACGAGUCAUGUAAAGUGAGCUUAGAUAUAGGGAAGGACAACAUGAGAAAAUUAUCUUGUUCAUUGGUUGUCUUAGAUCCCAUAGUGGAAGAAGCUUUAGCUGCUCCCAAUCCUUCAUAACAAAAUGAUACUCUUAUUUUCCCUUCUUCAUCUUGUCCAAGAGUGGAGCAAUGUAAGUAGGAUUAUUCAAGAAACACUUUUUCUGUUGCACCAAUCAAUGUAAUGAUACAACAACAGUAGCAUGUAAAGUGAUAAUAUGAUAGAUAGAUGGCAUCUUGAUUUUAAUAACUAUUCCAUACAUUGGUUCUGUUUCGUCUCCCGUGAUACUCAACAAUUAGACUCACAUCUGAUAGAUGCAAUGUUAGAAGGACUGAAACUAAGAAUUCGAACUAUAUAAAAAAUGCAUGGAUUUGUGUAAUCUGAAUAAAAAAAUCAAUACAGAGUAGACGGGUUGACAUACUUGCUACUUCCUCUUGCUGCUUGGAUAACUUUGUAGUCCAAUAUGCUUUGUCCAACAUUUAGACUUUCCCCUUCAAAGACACAUUGUCUCCGAAAGUUGGAAGAUUCUAUAUUUUAUAUCCCUUAUCUUUUGAGAAAAUAUAUGUGAGUGAACCUGAAUGUGGAUGUAUAAGAUUAGUAUGAAACCACAAAAAAUGCAAUGAUGCAUACUUACAUGCAAGGCAACCAUUAUCUUUCUAACUUAUAAAAGACAAUAUAUUAAUACAACCAUGUUUGAUCUCAACUUUCUAGAGAUCCAAUGAUAGCAAGCUUGUUAGGAAAGAAACAUAUGAUUAUUUUUAGGACAAAUGGCCAAAGUUUUUAUAGAACUGGCAUGUAAUACACAUAACAUGAGAUGUUAGUUUACCUAAUUUUUUUAUUAAAUGGAGUGGCACAAUUGGAAAUAGUCGCACUUCAAAGAGUUAUAGAUCAUCUAGUUUGUUCUGCUCAUAAGCCCAAUUACAAUUAACCAUAUUAUUAAUACAUGAGCAGCAACUAUAACAUUAAAAGUGUAGGCUUUACUAGAGAAUAUUUGUGACAUGUAAUUACCUCAUAUAUUCAUAAUUAUGUUAGCGAAAGAUCAAUACACCUUAAUUUCUACAUUAUUAUUGAAAAUCUGAAGGCUGUUUCUUCUAGUAUAUAUUGACACCAAGACAUGCCUUAAUAUCUCAUCUUACAAAUUUCCAUCUUGUCGUAGAAACUAAAACAAUCUGGCAUUGAAAACUAUACAAAAACAUAUCACUACCUUAAAUGUCAAAUUUACAUCUUUUGCGCAACUAUCUCCUACAACACUUAAUCAGCAUCAUGAGAAUAGAAGAUACUUGUCGCAUGGAAGAUAUAUAUACAUUUGUAGAAAUAUAUGAGAACGUUCUAGCUCGCUGAUGACAAUUCGCCGACUUGGCCCCAUUCAUACGCGAGUACUUUUCGGCAUGGGGCGACCAUGAUGACGACAAAGGAUGGCAAUUCCUCUUUGACAUGAUCCUGCACAAAGCAAACUCCAUCUGUAUUAAUUGAUUAACAAUGAAUCAACGUACACAAUAGUUAGAAAGCUAACCAUCAGACUGAUCGGUUCUUGCUAGAUACAACACACUACGCACGCACGCUGAAUUCCUGGAUUAAUUAGAGACUUAUUAGUACUACUCCAACAUGUAAAAAGUACCACAUCCAACACACGACGGUAUAGACUAUAAAUAUAUUCACAUGCAUCCAUGGCGUGCAUAAUGUUUUUUAUGCACAAGAAUCUGAGCCCGUCGUCUAUGAUAGAAACUGCUUCUAGGCUGCCACUCGUCCUGUGAUGCCAACGACGGGACUGCUCAUGCUUGAACGUGCAGCAACAGCCAGGCGUGAGUGGACCUGAACGCAUUGUCGCCACCCCACCAAGGACAAUCCCGGCACCACUAACAUCGGAGUUAAACAGAGAUCAAAAGUCUACAGCUAUGUCAACAGCGGAUGGAAAAGCCCAAAAAAUGACUUUGGACUAACCGUAUUCCCUUACAGAUAGGUCUGAUGGAGAUCUGAAGCUCCAUGAGUUCUUGGUCUCGAUAAAGGCCACUGAUGCCGGCCUCGUCCAGACCCGCGUC
rnacentral:lncRNA from 1 species